GACGAUCAGUAGCCGACCUGAGAGGGUGAUCGGCCACAUUGGAACUGAGACACGGUCCAAACUCCUACGGGAGGCAGCAGUGGGGAAUAUUGCACAAUGGGCGAAAGCCUGAUGCAGCAACGCCGCGGGAGUGAUGAAGGCCUUCGGGUCGUAAAACUCUGUCCUCAAGGAAGAUAAUGACGGUACUUGAGGAGGAAGCCCCGGCUAACUACGUGCCAGCAGCCGCGGUAAUACGUAGGGGGCUAGCGUUAUCCG
rnacentral:rRNA from 1 species